rnacentral:rRNA from 1 species
GAUGAACGCUAGCGGCAGGCCUAACACAUGCAAGUCGAGGGGCAACGAGAUGGUAGCAAUACCAUUGUCGGCGACCGGCGAACGGGUGCGUAACGCGUGAACAACUUGCCGGACACAGGGGGAUAAUCGUCGGAAGCGUCGUCUAAUAUCCCAUAACAUUGACAUGGGCCUCCAUGUUGAUUGAAAGCAAUUAUGCGGUGUCUGAUAGGUUCGCGUGACAUUAGCUAGUCGGUGGGGCAACGGCCCACCGAGGCGACGAUGUCUAGGGGUUCUGAGAGGAAGGCCCCCCACACUGGGACUGAGACACGGCCCAGACUCCUACGGGAGGCAGCAGUGAGGGAUAUUGGACAAUGGGCGGAAGCCUGAUCCAGCCAUGCCGCGUGAAGGAAUAAGGUCCUAUGGGUCGUAAACUUCUUUUGACGCAGAGCAAUAAGGGACACGCGUGUUCCGAUGAGAGUAUGCGUCGAAUAAGCAUCGGCUAACUCCGUGCCAGCAGCCGCGGUAAUACGGAGGAUGCGAGCGUUAUCCGGAUUUAUUGGGUUUAAAGGGUGCGUAGGCUGUUGGAUAAGUCAGCGGUGAAAUCACCACGCUUAACGUGUUGUGUGCCGUUGAAACUGUCUGGCUUGAAUGCGCUCGUCGUGAGAGGAAUGUGUGGUGUAGCGGUGAAAUGCAUAGAUAUCACACAGAACACCGAUUGCGAAGGCAUCUCACGAGAGCGCUAUUGACGCUGAUGCACGAAAGCGCGGGUAUCGAACAGGAUUAGAUACCCUGGUAGUCCGCGCUGUAAACGAUGAUGACUAACCGUUGGUCUGGUAUGGAUCAGUGGUCAAGCGAAAGCGUUAAGUCAUCCACCUGGGGAGUACGGCCGCAAGGCUGAAACUCAAAGGAAUUGACGGGGGCCCGCACAAGCGGAGGAACAUGUGGUUUAAUUCGAUGAUACGCGAGGAACCUUACCCGGGCUCGAACGGCGGAUGAAUAUGUUAGAGAGAGCAUAGUCGCAAGACAUCCGUCGAGGUGCUGCAUGGGUGUCGUCAGCUCGUGCCGUGAGGUGUCGGCUAAAGUGCCAUAACGAGCGCCACCCUUACCCGUCAGUUGCCCAUCAGGAAUAGCCUGGGGACUCUG